rnacentral:rRNA from 1 species
GACGAACGCUGGCGGCGUGUUUAACACAUGCAAGUCGAACGAUUCCUCUUUCUCUCUCUUUGGCGGAUUCUUUUCUCUCGGGUGAGUAACACGUGAGAAAUCUGCCCUUGACUCCUGUCUAUUAGCGGGAAACUGUAGCUAAUACCUUUUUCUGUCCCUGGUGGGCAUCCACUGGGGAAUUUAGUAUUUCGGUCAAGGAUGAUCUCGCGGCCUAUCAGCUUGUUGGUGAGGUAAUGGCUCACCAAGGCGACGACGGGUAGCCGGCCUGAGAGGGUGACCGGCCACACUGGGACUGAGACACGGCCCAGACUCCUACGGGAGGCAGCAGUGGGGAAUAUUGCACAAUGGGCGCAAGCCUGAUGCAGCAACGCCGCGUGAGGAAUGAAGGCCUUCGGGUUGUAAACCUCUUUUAGCAGGGAAGAAGCGAAAGUGACGGUACCUGCAGAAAAAGCACCGGCUAACUACGUGCCAGCCGCCGCAGUAA